rnacentral:rRNA from 1 species
AGCGAACGCUGGCGGCGUGCCUAAUACAUGCAAGUCGAGCGGAUGGAUGGGAGCUUGCUCCCAGAAGUCAGCGGCGGACGGGUGAGUAACACGUGGGCAACCUGCCCCUAAGAUCGGGAUAACUUCGGGAAACCGGAGCUAAUACCGGAUAUGAUUAUGUCUCACAUGAGACAUAAUGGAAAGACGGUUUCGGCUGUCACUUAGGGAUGGGCCCGCGGCGCAUUAGCUAGUUGGUGAGGUAACGGCUCACCAAGGCGACGAUGCGUAGCCGACCUGAGAGGGUGAUCGGCCAAACUGGGACUGAGACACGGCGCAGACUCCUACGGGAGGCAGCAGGAGGGAAUCUUCCGCAAUGGACGAAAGUCUGACGGAGCAACGCCGCGUGAGUGAAGAAGGUUUUCGGAUCGUAAAACUCUGUUGUUAGGGAAGAACAAGUACCAUAGUAACUGAUGGUACCUUGACGGUACCUAACCAGAAAGCCACGGCUAACUACGUGCCAGCCGCCGCGGUAACAC